GGAAAAUGACUUUCUUCGCCCCUAAGGGUCCCUUCGUGUCUGUGCUCCCCGGUAACCCGGUACCAGCAACUCUCGUCGUCCACCACAGGGACUGUCUGUUCCAGUACACUGGGGUAUCUCCUGUCACAAUAUUUAGGAUAUUUCAUUCUACUUUGCAGCACUGCUUACUGAAUCGUGAACUAAUGAAUAUGCAUAUUUGUAUGACUCAAGUUAAAACGGUCUGUGAAUGGAAAUAAUUUACAUGAAUAUUAAUGAUGUUAAGGCAAAGUGGCAGUGUAUGAUUCGUGCAUUUAAGUGGAGUGUAAAAAUAUGCAAAUGUGUUAAAAAGGGUUAGUUUAAAGGUAUCUUGCCAGGAGUUGAAGAUAAAAUAUCUUAAAGUAAAUAUGUGGACUGAGAAGUGUCGGUUAAAGGACAUAUCAGUCGAGGCACAUUUUAAGAUAAAAGUACAAGGCUUAUAUGUAAAAGCUUAAAGUAAUUAUACGCGAGUGAUAGAUGGAGUAAGAGAGCUUCACAGUAUUUUUGAAUCAAGAAAUGAAGUAAAGAAUUGACCAUGGUCGGAGGAGGUAGAGCCAAGUAGCCUAUACUCAAGACUUAUGUACCAAAUAUACUAAAGUGAUAUUGCAGACUGAGGGGAAAAGCCCUAGCAGUUAGCAAGACUUAGUAGAUGAUCCGUACAUCGAAUGCAUUAUUACAGUGAUAACGAUUCUGGGAGGUAGCACAACACUUUGUCAUUGGAUAUACAAAACGAACUUUUAUUUAAUUAAAACCAGUUGAUUUUAUA